CUGAUCCAUGCUCAUUGCAUGAUCGCUUCAGACUUUAGCUCACUGAAGCCGACACCUCAUUUACCCGUUUCACUUCGGGUGAAUUUUAGAGCAUAAUUUGGGGAUCAAUGGAGGUUGGUUUUGAGCCCAAGGUGUCAAAUAAUUCAUCUUUAAUGGAGAAGGGAAAUGGGUAAUUUGGGUGUUCUCACUACAGAAGAAGGUGCAAUAUCAGGGCUCCUUGUUGCGAUGAGAUAUUCGACUCCAGACAUUGUCAUAAUGAACCCAAGAACUCGAUGGAAGUUGGUCCUGUUGAUCGUCAC